rnacentral:rRNA from 1 species
AUUGUGAAGGAACUUGAACUCCUUAAAUGUGUUCUACCCGACAAAUUUGUGGCUGGGUGCAUGAUUGCAAAUUUGCCUCCUUCAUGGAGGAAUUUCGUCACAACUCUGAAGCAUAAGAGACAGGAGAUAUCAGUUAAAAAUCUGAUUGCAUCUCUUGAUGUUGAAGAAAAAGCUCGGGCUAAAGAUACCACUGAAAAAGGAGGUGAAGUUCAGCCUACUGCUAACAUGGUGCAGAGGUACCCACAGAACAAGAACAAAGGGAAGAACAAACCUGUUUUAAACAAACUUUUCCAAGGAAUGCCCUGA